GAUGAACGCUGGCGGCGUGCCUAAUACAUGCAAGUCGAGCGAACGGACGAGAAGCUUGCUUCUCUGAUGUUAGCGGCGGACGGGUGAGUAAAACGUGGAUAACCUACCUAUAAGACUGGGAUAAAUUCGGGAAACCGGUGCUAAUACCGGAUGAUAUUUUGAACCGCAUGGUUCAAAAGUGAAAGACGGUCUUGCUGUCACUUAUAGAUGGAUCCGCGCUGCAUUAGCUAGUUGGUAAGGUAACGGCUUACCAAGGCAACGAUGCAUAGCCGACCUGAGAGGGUGAUCGGCCACACUGGAACUGAGACACGGUCCAGACUCCUACGGGAGGCAGCAGUAGGGAAUCUUCGGCAAUGGGCGAAAGCCUGACGGAGCAACGCCGCGUGAGUGAUGAAGGUCUUCGGAUCGUAAAACUCUGUUAUUAGGGAAGAACAUAUGUGGAAGUAACUGUGCACAUCUUGACGGUACCUAAACAGAAAGCCACGGCUAACUACGUG
rnacentral:rRNA from 1 species